CCACAGGAAGAUGAAAUCUAAAAUGUGAUCACAAAGUAUCACACCAGUCGUGUCAAGCAAGGUCAGAACAUACCUGGGAGACCUUUAAUGGAUGCUUAAGUGGUGCUGAGGACUCCAUGCAUUCAUCUGAGAGCCAGUUCACGCACAGAAUAAGGGUGUGCACUUGAAAUGUGUGGGCUAACACAUCUUAACCAGCACUCAACAAAAUUCCGAGGUGUUGCAUAAAGCAUUUUGACACGAGAUUCCU